GACGAACGCUGGCGGUGUGCUUCACACAUGCAAGUCGAACGAGGUAGCAAUACCUAGUGGCGGACGGGUGAGUAACGCGUGGGUAACCUGCCCUGUACACACGGAUAACAUACCGAAAGGUAUGCUAAUACGAGAUAAUAUACUUUUAUCGCAUGGUAGAAGUAUCAAAGCUCCGGCGGUACAGGAUGGACCCGCGUCUGAUUAGCUAGUUGGUGAGGCAACGGCUCACCAAGGCGACGACGGGUAGCCGGCCUGAGAGGGUGUCCGGCCACACUGGAACUGAGACACGGUCCAGACUCCUACGGGAGGCAGCAGUGGGGAAUUUUGGGCAAUGGGGGAGACCCUGACCCAGCGACGCCGCGUGAGGGACGAAGGCCCUUGGGUCGUAAACCUCUUUUGCAGGGGAAGAAGUGCGUGACGGUACCUUGCGAAUAAGUCCCGGCUAACUACGUG
rnacentral:rRNA from 1 species